UGGUGGAGUGAUUUGUCUGGUUAAUUCCGUUAACGAACGAGACCUUAACCUGCUAACUAGUAUCUUGGUUUCCACCGGGAUUACUUCUUAGAGGGACUAUGCGGCUGAAACGCAUGGAAGUUUGAGGCAAUAACA
rnacentral:rRNA from 1 species